rnacentral:lncRNA from 1 species
GUCUCUCGCUCCCACCAGAGCUUGGAAUCCGUCUCUGCUCUUCUGCAUUCUCCACCUCGGGAGCCCCUGGGGACUCUGUGACGGCCUCUGUUGCCCUGUGAUCUGCAGGUCCGGAGAGACGCACAGCUAAGAUGUCAGGACAUCCUGGAAGCUGGGAAAGGGUCUUGCCAUCUCUAAGCUGGACCUGGUGACCUUUUUGGAGGGAAAGAAAGAGCCCUGGACUGUGAAGAGUGAGGAGACCAUAGCUGCACAGCCAGAGUGAGUUGUUGCUCCCGCCUGAGCCCAGCCCCCAGAAAGGAUUGUGACAUAUCGUUGGACCCAGAAUUGAGGUAAUGUAACUAUUCCACUGCCUUGGCACUGCCCACAGAAGACAUUGUGACAUAUUGCUGGGUCUUGUACCCAGGUGGUGUGAAUCUUCUCUCCUGCCUUGGCUCUUCCACAGGGGGCAUUGUGUCAUAUCGCUGGGCCCCACACAUAGGUUAUGUGACUCUUCUGCCUGUGCCCUGCCCAUGUGGCCCAUUGUGACAUACUGUUGGGUCCCAAACCUAGGUGAUGUAACUCUACUGCUUAGGCCCUGCCUACAGAGGACAUUGUGACAUAUCCCUGCAUCCAUCACACAGGUAAUGCAGCUCUCUUCUGCUUGGCCCCUACUCACAGAAAGGAUUGUGAUGUAUCACAGGGCUCAGCACCUAGCUAACAUGACUUUUCUCCUCUUCUAGGUUUUUGCCCACAGGGGAUAUUGUGACAUGUCACUGGGCCUAAUACUAGGGUGACAGUACUCUUGUGUCAUGGCACUGCCCUCAGCAGGUGUGGUGAUAUAUUACUGGGCCCAGAACAAAUGUGAUAUGAGUCUCCUGCCUGGACCCUGCCUACAAGGUGCAUUGUAACAUAUCUGGGGCCCUUUGACUAUUUUAUUUUAUUUAUUGUAUUAUAUUUUAUUUAUUUUAAUUUUAUUUUUGAGACAGAAUCUCACUCUGUCACCUAGGAUGGAGUGCAGUGGCGUGAUCUCUGCUCACUUCAACCUUUGCCUCCUGGGUUCAAGUGAUUCUCCUGCCUCAGCCUCCUGAGUAGCUGAGACUACAGGUGUGUGCCGCCACGUCUGGCUGAUUUUUGUGUUUUCAGUAGAGACAAGAUAUCACCCUGUUGGCCAGGCCGAUAUCAAACUCCUGACCUCAGCCAGUCCACCCGCCUUGACCUCCCAAUGUGCUGAGAUUACAGGUGUGAACCAUUGCUCUUGGCACCCUUUGACUAUUUUAUGUGACUCUUCUCUCUUACCUGGACAUUGACCAAAUGGGCCCAGCACCAAGGUGAUAUGACUCUCCUCUCCUGCCUGGGCCUUGCCCUUAGAAGAGAGAGUGACUUACUGCUGAAUUUAGCAUACAGGUGAUAUGAUUCUUCUGCUGACUCGCAGAAGUCACUGUAACAUAUAUGUGGGCCCAUUGCUGAGGUUGUGUGACUCUCUUCUCCCUGGGACCUGUCCACAGUAGGGAUUGUGACAUAUUGCUUGGCCAAGCACCUACAUUGUGUGACUUUUUAUUUAUUUAUUUUUUUAAGACAGAGUUUUGCUCUUGUUGCCCAGGCUGGAGUGCAAUACCAUGAUCUUGGCUCAGCUGGGAUUACAGGCAUGCGCCACCACACCUGGCAAAUUUUUUUUAUGUUUUCAGUAGAGAUGGGGUUUCUCCAUGUUAGUCAGGCUGGUCUCAAACUCCCAACCUCAGGUGAGCCGCCUGCCUUGGCCUCCCAAAGUACUGGGAUUCCAGGCAUGAGCCACUGCACCUAGCUUCGAUAUGACUGUCUUCUUAUGCCAGGGCCCUGCCGACUGGAGUGAUUUUGACACAUAGCUGGGGCCAGCUCAAAUGUUAUGUGACUCCACACUUCUUCCUGAGCCCUAUCUGUGAGGGGCACUGUGUCUUAUCUCUGAGACCGUUAAUUAGGUAAUAUAACUUUUAUUUUUUUGAGACAGAGUCUGGCUUUGUUGCCCCGGCUGGAGUGCAGUGGUGUGAUCUUGGUUCACUGCAACUUCCGCCUCCUGGGUUCAAGUGAUUCACCUGCCUCAGCCUCCUGAGUAGCUGGGAUUACAGGUACACAUGCCACCACGCCCAGCUAAUUUUUGUAUUUUUAGUAGAGAUGAAGUUUCACCAUGUUGGCCAGGCUGGUCUCGAAUUCCUGACCUCAAGUGAGCCACCUGCCUUGGCCUCCCAAAGUGCUGGGAUUACAGGCAUGGGCCACCACACCUGGCCAAUGUAACUCUUUUGUUUGGACUGUCUUCUUGGGGUAUUGUGAUAUAUUGCUGGGCCCAGAAUCCGGGUGAUGUGACUCUGCUGUUUCAUCUCUGCACAAAAAGGGAUUGUGACAUACCACUGGGUCAAGAACCUAGAUGAGGUGACUCUCCUCUCCAGCCUGGGACCUGCACACAUUGUGUACUAAGACAUAUCACUGAGUCUAACACCUAGGUAAUGCAACUCUCCUGCAUGGGCCCUGCCCAUAGGGGUAUUAUGAAAUAUCUUUCUGUUAAUCACCUAGGUGAUGCGACACUCCUCUUCUACCUGGGAACUGCCAAAACAAGUAUUGGUACAUAUCACUGGGCCCAGCACAUAGGUGAUGUGACUCUUUUCUCAUGCAUGGGCUCUGCGAACUGGGGUGUUUUUUACAUAUAGUUGGGCCUAAACCCUAGGUCGUGUGAUUCUUUUAUUUUCCUGAGCUGUACUCACAGAGAGCAUUUUGACAUGUUUUUGGGCCCGUAAUUUAGAUGAUGUGACUCUCUUGGAUGGGCCUUCCCCGGAAUGGGUAUUGUGACAUAUUGCUGAGCCCAUUAUAUAGGUGAUGUGACUCUCUUGCAUGGGCCCUCCACAUAAGGGGUAGUGUGACAUAUUGCUGAGCCCAGUAGGUGAUGUGACUCUUCUCUAUGGUUUGGGCUUUGCCCAAGCAGGGAUUGUGAUGUGUUGCUGGACUCACCACCUAUGUGUUGUGACUCUCCUCUUCUGCCUAAGCCCUGCAUGCAUUGUGUGUUGUGACAUGCCUGGAUUCAACACCUAGGUGAUACAACUUUAUGGCAGGGGAACCACCCACAGAAGUAUUGUAUCAUCUUUCCAUCACUUAGGUGAUGUGAUUCUUUUAUUUUUCCUGUUUCUGGCAUAUUUUGGGUAUAGUGACAUACCAUUGAGUUCAACACCCAUGAAAUCGGAGGCUUCUGCCUGAGCCCAGCACAUAAGUGACCUUGUGACAUAUCUUUGCAUUCAUUAUCUAGGAGAUUUAACUCCCCUUUUUGCCUGCACCCUGACCACUGGGAAGAUUGUGGCAAAUCACCGGUCUCAGCAAUCAAGUGAUGUGUUUUUCCUGCCUGGUCCUUGCCCACAGAUCAUUGUAACAUGUCACUGGGCCUAGCAUCCAGGUGAUGUGACUCUGCUGACUAUAUUCUGCUUUCAAGAGGAGAUUGUAACGUAUCCCUAAUCGAGCACCCAGGUGGUGUGACACUUCUGCCCUAUCCCUGCCCUUAGAGAUGAUUGUGACAUAUUGCCCCAAAAGGCAGGUGAUGUGAGUCUUCUGGUCAAUCCCUAUUCACUGGUGGGAUUGUGAUACAUAUCUUAUCCAAACUUAUAGGGGCAAUAUGACUCUCAUACCUCUAAACAACCAAUAGCAGAUACACUAGUUCUCAUAGCCAGGGUCAGGAAAAUGAGUAAUGUCUUGGGUUUCUUCUUUGUAUGAAGGUCAUAAAGAAUUAACACUCUGUCACAUACUGUGUAAAGUCGUCAAGAGGUACAGGGAAUGUCCUAACAGAACUCAGCACACAGGGGAGGUUGCGACACUCAUAUGCAUAGCCUGCCAACAGUAAAGACUGUCAUCCUUCCACAUAAACACAGCUCACUGUUGAGGUUCUGAAUCUCAUACCCAGAUGAAGUUGAAAGUUAGAAAAUUAAAUCUCAUGUUAAUUCGAUCCAUAGAGAGGUUAGUGUCUCUGAGACCAAGAUUCAGCACACCUGUGAGUCAGUGACUUCAUUAAAAUGACAGAAUUUGCAGGAAGGAUUGAAGUUCUCAUGCACAAAUCCAGACCAUCAUUGAGACUGUCACUCAGGUACUUACACCCAACAUACAGAGGGUAUUUUGUCUCAUACCUAGAACUAAGAAAUGUGUGAAAUUGUUAAUCUCAUACCUCGACCUUAAUUCAGGUGUGUUUGUGACAUACACCUUUUUUAAGCACCUAAGUAAUUUGACUCUCCUGCCUGGGCCCAACGUACAGAUGGGAUUGUGCCAUAUUUCUGGACCCAGCAUUUAGGUGAUGUGAGUCUAUUCUCUUGUCUUAGUGCUUUCCACAGAGAACACUGGACAUAUCACAGGGCCUAGUGCCCAGGUGAUAUGACUUUCCUCUACUUCCUAGGCUUUUCCUAAGAAGGGAUUGUAAUAUAUUGCUGGGUCAGAACCUAGGUCGUGUGACUCUCCUGUGCUGCCUGGUUCCUCUUGUACAUUGUGUAUUGUGACAUGUGGCUUGUUCUAACACCUCGAUGAUGUGAAUCUCCUGCAUGGGCCCUGUCCACAGAGGUAUUAUAACAUAUCUUUUUAUUCAUCACCUAGAUGAUGUAACUCUUUUCUAUCUGGGCCCUGCCAAAAGGGAGGAUUGCGGCAUAUCACUGGACCCAGCAUCUAGGUGAUGUGAUUCUCCUGUUUUCCCUGGGCCUCAAAUAUUUUGGAUAUUGUAAAAUAUUGCUAGGCCCACUACCUAUGGGAUUGCAUGCUCCUGCCUGGGCUCUGCCCACAGGGACCUUGUGACAUAUAUCUGCGUCCAUGACCUAAAAGGUGACACUUCUUGCCUGCACUGUGCCCUGAACAGGAAAUAUUGUGACAUAUCCCUGGAACCAGACACCAGGUGAUAUGGCUCUUCUGCCCCUGUCUUGCCCCCAGGGAGCAUUGUGACAUAGUGCUUAGCUCAGCACCCAGGUGAUGUGACUCUGUUGCCUGUGCUGUGCUUUCAGGAGAGAAUUGUAACAUAUCCCUGGCUGAGCACCCAGGUGAUAUGACACUCCUGCUUGUUUCCUUCCCUCGGGGAAGAUUGUGAGAUACCUUGGCUGAAAUCCCAGGUGAUGUAACUCUCUUGCUAACUCCCUACCUACAGGUUAAAUGGUGACAUAUACUAUAGUCAGCUUAUAAGUGGAAUGAUGACUCUCAUACCUCUAGUCAGCUAUUGGAAGAAAUACUGUCUCUCAUAGCUCGACUUAGAUAAAUGAGUCACUUCCUUGGUCUUCUCUUUUUAUGAAGGUCAUAAAGAAUUGCCACACUCUAACAUAUUGUAUAAUGCCCUCGAGUGUUACAAACGUGUUAUCCCAGGGCACACAGCACAAAGGUGAGAUUGUUUCUUAUAUGCACACCUCACCAAUUAUUAGGAUUAUCACCCUCACACAGGGAAAGAGCCUAUGGCUGAAGUCUUGAAUCUCAAAUGCAAACAGAAUCUCAAAUGCAAACACUGUCCACAGUUGGAAUUGUGACUCAUGUAUGAGCCUCCAACCACAGUUGAGAUGGUGACACAUUUCUAAACUCAGAACAUAGCAGAUGAGGACUCUACUCUCUUAAACCCAACAAAUUAAGAGAGAUGUUGACUAAUACCUGGGCUUAGGGCCACAAGUAUGGUCAUGGGUGCUUACAAACAUGAUUUUAGAGUAAAUUGUGCCUCUCAUUUAUACUGGAUAAAGCCUUUGAGUAGUAUAGUGUGAGCCACUGCAGCCGGCCUGGAGAUUUUCACUGUUAUAUGAACACCCAUCAAAAAGUAUACAUCAUCAUAUUCUCACAUAAACACAGCCCACUUUUGAAGUUCUGGAUCACACCUAGAGGAAGUCAAAGGUGGAAAAAUUGACUCUUAUAUAUGGAUCCAGUCCAUAGGUGAGUUGGUGACACUCAGAGCAAGAUUCAGCAUGCGUAUGAGGCUGUGACUUCACUAAUUAGACAAAGUCCACAGGAGGAGUAUAGGCUGUCAGGUACAAAUUUAGUUCACUGUUGACAUUGUAACUCCUGUUCUUAGACACAACAUAUAGGAAGGGUUAACCUCCUUUACCUAAAACCGGAACAUGUGUGGGAUUGUUAAUUUCAUCUCUGCACCUUCCCACAGGUUUAAUUGUAACAUUUUUCUCUGCCCAGCACCUGAGUGAUCUGACUCUCUUGCCUAAGACCAGCCCACAGAUGGAAUAGUGACACAUAGCUGAACCCAGAACUGAGGGGAUGUGAUUCUAUUUUUCUGCAUUGGUGCUGCUCACAGGGGACAUUGUGACAUAUCGCUGGACCUUACACUUAAAUGAUUUGAGUCUCCUCCCCUGCCUUGGCACUGCCUACGGAAGGCGUUGGGACAUGUCUCUGAGCCCUAUGCCCAGGUUAUGUGACUCUCCUGCCUGUUCCCCGACCACAUAAGCAAUUGUGACAUAUUGCUGGGUUUGACACCCUGGUAAUGUAACUCUACUGCCAAAAAGGAGCAUUAUGACAUAUAUUUCCAUUCAUUACCCAGGUGUUAUGACUCUCUUCUCCUGCCUGGUCCCUGCUCACAGAGGGAAUUUUGACAUAUCCCUUGGCUCAGUACCAACAAGUGUGGUUCUUCUUCCAUCAUAAGUUCUGCUGGCAAGGGAGAUGGAGACAUAUUGUGGAGCUCUAUGCCAAUGUGACAUUACUGUUUGCUUUGGCCUGGACCUCAAAAGGCAUUGUGACAUAUUGCUGGGCCCAGCAACAUGGUGACAUGAGUCUCCUGUAUGGACCAUGACAACAGAGCAUUGUGACAUAUCUUUAAGAGCAUCAACUAUUUGAUGUGACUCUCCUUUUCUACCAAGGUUUCCCCACAAUGAGAGAUUGUGACGUAUCUUCUGACCCAGAAAUCAGGUGAUGUGUUUCUCCUGCCUGAGCUUUGCUCAUAGGGAGCAUUGUGACAUAUCACUCGUCUCAGCUCCCAGGUGAUGUGACUGUACUGUCUGUGCCCUGGUUUCAGGAGGAAAUUUAACAUAUCCCUGACUGAGCACCCAGGUUUUAAUUCUUCUGCCUGGUGCCUUCUCUCAGAGAAGUUUGUGACAUAUCCCUGGCCUAUUACCCAGAUGAUAUAAGUCUCCUGCUCACUCCCUAUCCACAGUGGAGAUUGUGACAUCUUUUUUCAGAUCAUAGGCACAAUGUUGGCUGUCAUAUCUGAAACCAGUCAAUAGGAGACAUACUAUCUCUCAUAUGUGGGCUUAGGUACAUGGGUAAGAUUGUCACUCUUCUCUUUUUAGGAAGGUCAGAGAAAAUUACACUCUCUCACAUAUUGUAUAAAGUCCUCAAGUGGUAUACAGAGUGUCAUAACGGCUCUAGAAAACAGAUGGGAUUGUGAUUUAUGUAUGCACACUUUGCCAAUUGUUAAGAUUGUCACCCUCAUCCAUGGACAAAGCCUACUGGAGAGGUCUUAAAUCUUACAUGUGGAUGCAGUGCAGAGUUGAAAUUGUGACUGUCAUAUGUGAACAUCAGGCAACAGCUGAGGUGGUGACUCAUUAGUAAGCCUAGCUUAUAGGGAGGUAACAACUCUCAUAUCUGGACCCAGUCAUUAUAGAGGUGUUAACUCUCAUAUCUGGGCAUAGAGCCACAGGUACGAUUAUGGGUCGAUACCAUUACAAUUGUCUCCCAGUCACAAAAGAUUGCGACUCUCAUGGGAACCUUAUAAAUUCCUCGGUUGGUACAGGGAAUGUUCUAACUAGGCUCAUUGUACAGUUGAGGUUUUGACACUCAGGCACACCCAGCCGACAGUAAAGAUUGUCCUCUUUUCACAUGAAUACAAUCCACUGGAUGUUCUGAAUCUCAUAUCCAGAGACAGUUGCAAGUUGGAAAAUUUACUCUUAUAAGUGAAUCCAGUCCAAAGUUAAGUUGGUGACUUUCAGACCAAGAUUGAACACACUGUUAGUCUGUGAUUCCACUAAGGUGAAACAGCCAGUAAGAGGGAUUGUGUCUCUCAUUCAAUGAUUCAAUUCAUUCUAAAAAUGUGACUUGUGUACUUGGAUUUAACAUACAGGAGGUGUUGACUCUCAUACCAAGAAUUGGGGUAUAUACAGGAUUGUUAGUCUCAUCCUUGGUCUUUCCUUCAGGUGCAGUUUUGACACACUUCUGUCUAGCAGCUGAGUAUUGUGAUCUUCAGAACUGGCCCAGCCUACAAAUAGGAUUGUGCCACACUGCUGGACCCAGCACCUAGAUGAUGUAACUAUUCUCCUGCCUUGGUGCUACUCAAAAAAGACAUUAACAUAUCUCAGAGCCUUGCACCCAGGUAAUGUGAGUCUCCUCUCCUGCCUUGCUGCUGCACACAGAAGCGGGUUAUGUACAGGAUUGUUAAUCUCAUUUGGACCUUCCUGCACCUAUGAUUGUGACACAUGCCUCUGUGUAGAACCCAAGUGAGUUUUCUCUCCUGUUUGGAUUUAACCCACAGAUGGAAUCGUGACAUAUCGCUGCACCAGAAACUAGGUGAUGUGACUCCAUUUCCUUGCCUCUGUGCUUUCCACAUUAGGCAUUGGGACAUAUCACUGGGCCUUGCAUCCAGGUGAUGGGAGUUUUCUUUUUCUUUCUUUCUUUCUUUCUUUUUUUUUUUUUUGAGACAGAAUUUCGCUCUUGUUACCCAGGCUGGAGUGUAAUGGUGCAAUCUUGGCUCAAGGCAACCUCCGCCUCCUGGGUUUAAACAAUUCUGUCUCAGCCUCCCAAGUAGCUUAGAUUACAGGCAUGCGCCACCACGCCUGGCUAAUUUUUGUAUUUUUAGUAGAGACAGGGUUUCUCCAUGUUGGUCAGGCUGGUCUCGAACUCCUGACCUCAGGUGAUCCACCUGCCUUGGCCUCCCAAAGUGCUGGGAUUACAGUUGUGAGCCACCGUGCCCGGCCAGUGAUGGGAGUUUUCUCUCCUGCUUUGGUGCUGACCACAGUGAGCAUUGUAAAAUAUUGCUGCCAUCACCCCUAGAUUAUGUUAACUCUCCUCUGCUUUGCCCACGUGGUUCACUGUGACAUAUUACUGGGUCUAAAACCCAGAAAAUGUAACUCCCUUAUUUAGGUUCUGCCUGCAGGAGCCAUUGUCACACAUCUCUGUGCUCACCACCCAGGUGAUGUGACUGCCUUUUACUGCCUAGUUCCUUCUCACAAAACAUCUUGUGGCAUACUGCUAGGCCCAGUACCUGGCUGGUGUGACUCCUCUCUUCUUUCUAGGUUCCACCUGCAGCAAAGAUUGUAACAUACCGCUGGGCCCAACAGCAUAAUGACGUUAUUCUUUUGCCUUGGGCCUGCCCUCAGAAGGCACUAUAAAAUAUUCAUGGCCCCAGCGCCAAGGUGAUGUGUGUCUCCAGCCUGGAUCCUGCCCACAGAGGGCAUUAUGACAUAUCUCUUGGCCCAUCAGAUGUUUAAUAUUAUCUCCUCCCAUUUCCUACCCUGUGUUUGCCUGUAAGAGACAUUGUCACAUGUUCCUGGGCCCAGCACCUAGGUGAUGUCUUCCUGAGACCUGUCCAUAUGGGGAUUGUGAUAUAUUGUGUGGCCCAGAACUUACUUGAUGCGACUCUCCUCUCAUGACUAGGCCCUGCUUACAGGUGUGAUUGUGACACACAGCUUGGCCUAGCCCCUAAGUUAUGUUACUCUGCUCUUAUUCUUCAGUCAUUUUCACAGGGGGCAUUGUGACAUAUUGCUAGACUGAGAACUUAGGUGAUGUGACUCUCCUCUACUGCUUGGAAUAUUCCCAAAAAGAGAGUUUGAUAUAUUGCUUAGCCAGGAUCCUAGGUGAUGUUACUCUUUUCUCCUGCCUAAACCCUGCAUACAUUAUGUAUUUUGGCACUGGGGCCACAACCUAGGUGAUGUAACUCUCCUGCAUGGGCUUUGCCUACAGGGGUAUGAUGAUGUUUCUUUUCUUUCAUCACCCAAGUGGUGUGACUCUCCACUUAUGCCUGGGUCUUGAUGAAAGAGGAAUUGUGACAUAUCCCUGGCCCUAGCACUUAGGUGAUGUAACUUGCCUUUAUUGCCAGGGCAUGGCAUAUUAUGAAUAUUGGACGUAUCUCUGGGACUGACACCUAGGGGAUGAGAGGUUCCUGCCUUGGCCCUGCCCACAGGAGGCUUUGUGGCAUGUCUCUGGCCUCAUUACCUAGAAAGAUGUGACUCUUCUCUUCUACCUGCAUUCUUCCCACAGAGAAGAUUGUGACAUCACUGGAUCCAGCAAUUAGAAAAUGUUUCUCUCCUGCCUGAGCCUUGCCCACAGGAAUAUUGUGACAUAUCCUUGGGCUCAGCACCCAGGUGAUGGAACUCUGCCACCUGUGCCCUGUCUACUUAGGCUAUUGUGAAGCUGGUUUCAAUACCCAGGUGAUGUAACAUUCCUGCCAGGCCACUGCCUUCCAGGGAUAUUGUUACGUACCUUUGUGCCAAUCACCAAGGUGAUGUGAAUCUUUUCACCUGCCUAGUCCUUGUUCACUAGGGGAUAAUGAUAUCUAUUGCUGGUUUCAGCACCAAGCUGAUGUUACUUGCCUCUUCUUCACAGAUUCUGCUCACAGAAAAACUAACACAUCACUAGGCCCAUCAGCGAAAUUAUUUUGCCUGGCCCUGCCCUUAAAAGACAUUGUGACAUACUACAGUGCCCAGCAUCAAUGUAAUUUGUCUCCUGCCUAAACCCUGCCUACUGGGGGCAUUGUGACAUAUCUCUUGGCCCAUCAACUAUUUGAUGUGACUCUACUUUCUUACCUGGGCUUUGCCAAUAGUAGAGCUUGUGACCUAUCUCUGGGCCCAGCACCUAGAUGUUAUGACUCUCCCGCCUGGUCCAUGCACACAAAAAAGAGAGUGACUUAUACUAGGAUCAACACACAAAUGAUUCUAUUCUUCUGCAUUAUCCCAGCCCACAUGGCUUAUUGUGACAUCUCUAGGUUCAUCAUCUAGAUGAUAUGACUCUCCUUCCUGGGAACUGUCCAUAAUGAAGAUUGUGACACAUCACUUGGCCCAGCACCUAUGUGAUAUGACUCCUUUCUUUUGCCUGGGCCUAUCAGUUUGGGUGAUUGUGUCAUAUAGCUUUACUCAGCACCUUGAUUAUGUGACUCUCCUGUUUCUCCUGAGUCCUACCCACAGAGGUCAUUGCAACAUAUCCCUGAGCCCCUAAUUUAGGUAAUUUGACUCCUGCCUGGGCCCUACCCUCAUUGAUUUUUGUGACAUAGUUUUUGACUCAGCACCUAGGUAAUGUGAUUCUUCUCCACUGCUUGGACUCUGUCACAGAAGGUAUUGUGAUGUAUCACUGGGGCUGACACCUAGGUGAAGGUACUGUCUUCUCCUGCCUGGGCCCUGCAUAAAUUGUAUAUUUUGACAUUUCACUAGGUUCAACACAUGGGUGAUUCAACUCUCUCACAUGGACCGUGAGCAUGGGGUUAUUGAGACAUUUAUUUUUGUUCAUCACCUAACCGAUGUGACUCCUCUCUGAUCCCUGUCAAAAGGAAAGAUUGUGACAUAUCACUGGAACCAGAACUUAGAAGGCAUUGAGACAUGGCUGGGCUCAGCACUAAGAAGAUGUGAGUCCUCUGCCUGAAGCCUGACCACAGGGAGCAUUGUGACACAUUUCUUGACCCAUUACAAUCUCUUCUACGGGCAAAGCUGAGGUGGAAUUGUGACAUAUAACUUGGCCAAGCACACAGAUGUAAUGGUGUGGUGACUCUCAUACCUAGAACUGGGACCUGUGCAGGAUUGUUAAUUCAUUACUGGACAUUCCUGUGGGUGUGAUUGUUACAUAUGCCUAUGUUCAGCACCCGAGUGAUUUGAUUUUGCUGCCUGGUCUCAGUCCAAAUGUAAGAUUGUGAUUUAUCGCUGAAUCCAGCACCUCGGUGAUUUGACUCUCCCUUUUUUUGUGGGAGGGAUCCUGCAAAUUUUGGGUAUUGUCAAUUAUUGCUGAAUCCUGUACCCAUGUUAUGACUCUCCCAAAUGUGCCUUACCUGUUGUGGCACAAUAUAUCACAUUAGACAUUGUUAAAUAUUGUUGGGUUCAACACCUGGGUGAUGGAUGUAACUUUUUUUCUGGGCCUGCCUACAGGGGACCUUGUGACAUAACUCAAUGCCCAUCAUCAUGGUAAUGUUACUCUCUUCUCCUGCCUGAUCUCUGCUCACAGAGAAAUUGUGACACAUCACUGGCCUAGCAUCUAGGUGAUGUGACUCUCCUCUUUUUUUCAGGCUCUGCAUAUUUGGGUAUUGUGACAUAUUGCUGAACUCAACACCUAAGGGAUGGGAGUCUCCUACCUAGGCCCUUCCUACAGGGGACAUUGUGACAUGUCUCUGCAUUCCUCAUCCAGGAGAUGUGACUCUCCUUUUCUGCCUACACCCUGCCUACACAGAAAGUUGUGGCAUAUUGCUGUGGUCAGCAACCAGAUGAUAUAUUUCUCCUGCCUGGGUCUUUAUUACAGGAAAGAUGAUUGACAUAUUACUGGGCCCAGCAUCCAGAUGAUGUGACUCUCUUCUUCUGUUGGUCCUUGCUUACAGGGAAACUGUAGCAUAUUGCUACACCCAACACCUAGCUUAUGUGAUUCUUCUUUUAGGUUUGCCUUCAGGGAACAUUGUGACAUAUUGCUGGGCCCUGCACUGAUAAUUUGUGACUCUUCUGCCUGUGAUUUGCCCACUUGGGGCAUUGUGACAUAUUGCUGGGUUUAACACUCAGGUGAUGUAACUUUUAUGCCUAGGCCUUGCUUACAGGAGGCAUUUUGAAAUGUCUUUGUGGCUGGGCAUGGUGGCUCAUGUCUGUAAUCCCAGCGCUUGGGGAGGCCAAGGUGGGCAGAUCACAAAGUCAGGAGUUCGAGACCAGCCUGGUCAACAUGGUGAAAACCUGUCUCUACUAAAACAAAACAAAACAAAACAAAACAAAACAAAACAAAACAAAACAAAACAAAUAAAACCACAAAAAUCAGCCAGGUGUGGUGAUUGGUGCCUGUAGUUGCAGCUACUCAGGAGGCUGAGGCAGGAUAAUCGCUUAAGUCCAGGAGGUGGAGGUUGCAGUGAGCUGAGAUUGCACCACUGCACUCCAUCCUGGGCAACAGAGUGAGACUCCAUCUCCAAAAAAAAUAAAAUAAAAUAAAAUAAAAAUACAAAUGUCUUUGCACCAAUCCUACAGGUGAUGUGACUCUCUUGUGUUACCUGGUCUCUGCCCCCAGGAAGAAUUGUGACCUUUCACAGCGUAUAGCUAAUUUUUUUCUUUUAUUUCUUAGUUUUUCUCCUGCAGGAAAGAUUGUGAAAUAUUACUGAACUAAGCACCAAAGGGAUAUAUUUUUUUUCUUGGACCUGCCCAUGUAAGACCUUGUGACAUAUUGCUGGGCCCUACACCUAGAUGAUGUGAGUUUUCUGCCCGUCAACUAUUUUAUGUGACUCUCCUCUCUUAUCUUCACUUUGUCCAUAGGUUAGCUUUUAAUAUACCUUUGGGCCUGGGUCAUGCUAAUAGAAGCAAGAGUGACUUAUUGUUGGGCCCAGCACACAGGGGAUGUGAUUCUUCUGCUUGGUUCCUGCCGAAAUGGUCAUUGUGACAUAUCUAUGGGUCAGUUGGCUAAAUGACAGGACUCUUUUUAUCUUUCUGGAGCAGUCCACAGUAGGAAAUUUGACAUAUCGCUGGGCCCAGCACAUAUCUGAUGUGACUCUCCUCUCAUGCCAAGGCCUUGCCUACUGUAGUGAUUGUGCCAUAUAGCUGGGCCCAGCUCCUACGUUAUCUGACUCCUGUUUUCUUCCUGAGCCCUAUGAAAAGAUUGCAUUAUUAAAUAUUUCUGGGUCUUUUACCUAGGUGAUGUGACUUUUCUUUCUGGCUUGUCCUCUCAGAGGGUAUUGUGACAUGUUGCUGAAUGCAGCAUUUAGGUGAUACGACCCUUCCUCUACUGCUUGGACUCUGACCAAAAAGGGAUUGUGAUGCAUCACUGGGCCCAGCACCUACGUAAUGGGACUCUUUUCUCUUGCCUGGACCCUACAAAUAUUUUGCAUUGUGACGUGUAGCUGGGUCUGCCACCCAGGUAAUGUGAGUCUUCCACAUAAGCCCUGGCCACAAGAGUAUUAUGAAAUAACUUUUUAUUCAUCACCUAGGUAGUGAUGUGACUCUUCAUCAGCCUGUACCCUGCCACAAGGGAAUUGUGUUGUGUCAGUGGGUCCAGCACCUAGAUGAUGUAACUCAUCUUUUGGCUGGACCUUUCAUAUUUUACAUGUUGUUACAUAUCACUGCAUCUGACAUUAGGGGAUGAGAGGCUUCUGCCUGGGCCCUGCCCACAGAUGGCCUCGUGACAUAUUUUGGCAUCCAUCACCUAAGAAACGUGGCUCUCCUCACCUACAUGCACCAUGCACAAAGAAAAUAUUGUGGCAUAUCACUGGGAUCAGCCACCAGGUAUGUGUCUAUCCUCUCAGGGUGUUGCUCACAGAGAGCGUUGUAACAUAUCACUGGGCCCAGCACACAGGUGAUGUGACUUGUGGCCUGUGCCUAUCUAGCCUUUUUUUUUUUUUGAGGCAGAGUCUCACUCUGUUGCCCAGGUUGGAGUGCAGCGAUGUGAUCUUGGCUCACUGCAAAAUCUGCCUCCUGGGUUCAAGCAGUUCUCCUGCCUUAGCCUCCCAAGUAGCUGGGAUUACAGGCAUGCAUUACCACACCGUUCUAAUUUUUGUAUUUUUAGUAGAGGUGGAGUUUCACCAUGUUGGCCAGGCUGGUUUCUAACUCCUGACCUCAGGUGAUCCACUUGCCUUGGCCUCCCAAAGUGCUGGGACUACCAGCAUGAGCCACUGCACCCAGUCUACCUGCAGCCAUCUUAUAGGAUUAGAUUUUAAUCCAUCCCCAGCCAAGAACCUAGAUGAUGUGAUAUGACUCUCCUGUCUGGUCCUUGCCUUCAAAAAAGAUUGUGACAUACCUUUAGAUGAGACCCAGGUGAUGUCACUCUUCUGCUCACUUCCUACCCACCAGUGUCAUUGGGACAUAUAUCUUGCUUCAGCUUGCAAUUGCUAUGAUGAUUCUUAUACCUUGAACCAGGCAAUAAAAGAGUUAUAGUCUCUCCUAGCUAGGCUUAGGAAAACAAACAUAAUCCUUAGUCUCCUCUUUUUGCCAAGGUCAUAGAGAAUUAACACUCUCUCAAAUAUUCUAUAAAGCCCUCGGGUGGCACAGAGAGUGUCAUCAAGGGACAAAAACACUGAUGAUAUUGCGUUUCUUUUCUUUUCUUUCUUGGAGAUGGAGUCUCACUUUGUCACCCAGGCUAAAGUGCAGUGGCAUGAUCUCAGCUCACUGUAACCUCUGCCUCCUGAGUUCAAGUGAUUCUCCUGCCUCAGCCUCCCGAGUAGCUGGGACUACAGAUGUGUGCCACCAAGCCCAGCUAAUUUUGUAUUUUUAUUACAGAUGAGUUUUCACCAUGUUGGCCAGGCUGGUCUUGAACUCCUGACCUCAGGUGAUCUGCCCACCUUGGCCUCCCAAAAUGCUGGGAUUAUAGGUGUGAGCCACUGCUCCCAGCCCAAGAUUGUGUUUCUUAAAAGAACAUCCUGGCCAGGCUCAAGCCUGUAAUCCCAGCACUUUGGGAGGCCGAGGCAGGUGGAUCACGAGGUCAGGAGUUCAAGACCAGCCUGGCCAACAUGGUGAAACCCCAUCUCUACUAAAAAUAUAAGAACUCUCCAGGCGUGGUGGCGGGUGUCUAAUCCCAGCUACUCAGGAGGCUGAGGCAGGAGAAUUGCUUGAACCCAGGAGGCAGAGGUUGCAGUGAGCCAAGAUCACGCCACUGCCGUUCAGCCUUGGUGACAGAGUGAGACUCCAUCUCAAAAAAAAAAAAAAAAAAAAAAAGAAUAUUCUGCCAGGUGUGGUGGCUCACACCUGUAAUCUCAGCACUUUGGGAGGCCGGCUCACGCCUGUAAUCUCAGCACUUUGGGAGGCCGAGGUGGGCGGAUCACAAGGUUAGGAGAUUGAGACCAUCCUGACUAACAUGGUAAAACCCCAUCUCUACUAAAAAUACAAAAAAUUAGCCAGAUGUGGUGGCACAUGCCUGUAGUCCCAGCUACUCAGGAGGCUGAGGCAGGAGAAUCACUUGAACCCAGGAGGCCACUACACUCCAGCCUGGGCAGCAGAGUGAGACUUUGUCUCAAAAGGAAAAAGAAAUAAAAACAUCCUGCCGCUCAUUACAAUUGUAACCUCAAAAUAGAGCCCACUGGUGAGGUCCUGAAUCUCAUAUGCAGAUGCAGUCCACAGUUGGAAUUGUGACUGUGAUAUGCAAACAUCGAGCCAGGAAUGUCUCAUUUCUAAAGCUACAAAUGAUGACUCACUUCUAAAUGUAGUUCAUAGGCAGAUGAGGACUCUCCUAUAUUGAUCAGCCAAUUGGAGAGAUGUUGACUCUCAUUUCUGGGAUUAGAGCAGCAUGUACUAUCAAGGGUCCAUACCAUCACAAAUGUCUUAGAGUGGAUUGCGACUCACAUGCAUAUUGCAUAAAGUCCUCAGGUAAUGCAUUGAAUGCCCUUACAUGGCCCAGCACACAGGUGACAUUGUGAUGCUGGUUUUCACAACCAGUCAACAGUAAAUAUGUCAUCCUUUUAGAAAAACACAACCUACUUCUGAAGUUCUGAAUCUCAACCCUGGAGGCAGUGGGAAGUUGCAAAGUUGACUCCCAUGUGUGGAUCUGCUCCACAGCUGGGCUGGUGACUCAGACCAAGAUUCAGUGCACCUGUGAGGCUAUGAUUUUACUGAGAAGACAGAGUCUAAAGGAGAGAUUGAGGCUCUUUUUCAUGAAUUCAUCCAUAUUGAGAUUGUGAUUUCUGCACUUAGACCCAACCUCCAAAUGGUCUUGCCUCUCAUACCUAGAAUGGGAAUAUGUGAGGAAUUAUUCAUGUUAUUCCUGAGCCUUUCUGCAUGUGUGAUUGUGACACACAUCUCUGCUCAAAACCUGAGGAAUUUGACUCUCCUGCCUGGGCCUGGCACACAGAUGGGAUUGGGACAUAUUGUUUGAAGCAGUAUUUAGAUGAUGUGACCCUAUACUCUUUCCUUGUUCCUGUCACAGAGUACAUUGUGACAUAUCACUGGUCCCUGCACCCAGGUAAUUUGUUUGUCUUUUUUAUGCCCUGCCCACAUGGGCUAUUGUAACAUAUUGCUGGGUCUAACACCCAGGUAAUAUGAAUCUCCUACCUAUAUCCUGACUACAGGGGCCAAUUUUGCCAUAUUUCUGAACCCGUCAUCUAUUUGAUGUUACUCUCCACUUUUUUUUUCUUGGUUUUAAGGAGUGGAGAGUUUAAUAGGCAAGAAGGAAGGGAGAAGACAGAAAGAAGAAGCUCCCCUAUGCAGAGACAGAGGGAGGGGAGCUCCAAAGCCAAAAGAGAAGGCCCCCUACUCUCGACUUUUACAUAGGCUUUUCCCUAAGAGACAUUGUAACAUAUCUGGGCCAAGCACCUACGUGAUGUUACUCUUUGCUCCUUCCUGGGCCCUGACCAAGAAGGGGGAGUGACUAAUCCCUAGGCACAGCACACAGGUGAUGUAAUAUUUCUGCCUGUUCCCUGUCCACAGGAGACAUAGUGAAUGUCCCUGGCCUACUAAACAAGAUGAUAUGACUAUUUUUUGUCUCUGAGACCUGUCAACAGUGGGGAUUGUGACAGAUCACUUGUCUCAGCACCUACAUAAUUUUUCCCCAUGCCUGGGUGCUUCCCACUGGGGUGAUUGUGGCGUAUAACUAGGUGAAGGGCCUAGGUUAUGCGACUUUUCUCUUCUACGUGAGCCUCACCCACAUAGGGCAUUUUGACAUACCUCUGAAGCUCUAAUUUAGGUAGACUGCUGCAUGGACCCUUCAUUUUUCAGGAAGUAUUGUGCCAUAUUUUUUUGACCUAGCUAUAAUGCUUCUAAUGCCACUGCACUCCAGCCUGGGUGACAGAGUGAGACUACAUCUCUUCUAAUGCUUGGGCUCUGCCCAAGGAGGGAUUGUGAUGUAUUGCUGGGCCCAGCACCUUGGUGAUGUGACUCUCCUCUGCUUCUACAGGGUUCAGGACGGAAAGGAGAGUUACAUCACUUAGGUGAUGAACAAAAUGAUAUGUCAUAAUUCCCCUAUUAGCAGGGCUCAUGCAGGAGAGUCACAUCACCUAGGUGUUGGACUCAGCCAUAUUUCAAUAUGCAAAUUGUAUAUUGUGUUUAUUAAAAAUUGUAUAUAUUGAAAUAUGGCUGGGUCCAACAGGUAGAUGGUGUGAUUCUCCUGCUUGAGCCCUUCUAAUAGGGAAAUUAUGACAUAAUCAUUUUGUUUAUAACCUAAGUGAUGUAACUGUCCUUUUCUACUUGAGCUCUGUAUAAAGGGGGGAUUGUGACAUAUCACUGGACCCAGCAUCUGGUGGUACCAGUCUCUUUCUGUUUUUCUUUUUCAUUUUUUUUUUUUCUUCUGAGAUGUAGUCUCGCUCUGUCACCCAGGCUGGAGUGCAGUGGCAUGAUCUCGGCUCACUGCAACAGCCACCUCCUGGGUUCAAGCAAUUCUCCUGCCUCAGCCUCCCGAGUAGCUGGGGUUAGAGGCAUGCACCACCACACCUGGCUAAUUUUUGUAUUUUUCGUAGAGAUGGGGUUUCGCCAUGUUGGCCAGGCUGGUCUCGAACUCCUGACCUCAAGCGAUCUACCUGCCUCCGCCUCCCAAAGUGCUGAUAUUACAGGUGUGAGCCACUGUGCCACGCCUUAUUACCCUCCUCAUCAGCCCUGUGUAUUUUGGGUAUUAAGACAUAUUUCUGGGUCAAACCAAAUGGGUGAAAGGCUCUUGCCUGGGCCCUGCCCACAAGAGGCCUUGUGACACAUCUCUGCAUCCACUGCUUUGGAGGUGUGACUCUCCUCUUCCAUCUGCACCAUGACCACACAGAAAAUUGUGACAUACCUCUGGGUUCAGCAACCAGGUGUGUACCCAGGUCUUACCUGCAGAGAAAACUGUGACAUAUAACUUGGCCCAGUAUCCAAGUAAUGUGACUUUGUUGUCUGUGCCUUGCUUUCAGGAGAGAAUUGUAACAUAACCCUGGUCAGGCAACCAGGUGAUAUGACUCUCUGUCUGAUCCCUACCCUGGAAAAAUUGUGACAUAUUUCUGACCCAGCACCCAGGUGAUGUUACUCUCCUGUUUUCUUUCUACUCACAGUUUGGGUUGUGACAUAUACCUUAGCCAAGCUCACAGUUGUGGUGAUGACACUAAUACCACAAACCAGCCAAAAGGAGAGUUACUGGCACUUGUAACUAUACUUGGAGAAAUGGGUAAAUUCCUGGGUCUUCUCUAGAUAAUGUCAUAAAGGAUUACUUUUCUUUCACAUUUUAUAUAAAGUCUUUGGAUGGUACAGAGAGUGUCAUCACAAGACCAAGCACACAGGUGAGACUGUGUUUCUCAUAUGCACAACCUACCAAAUGUUAGCAUUGUCACCCUGACCCAUGGACAGUGCCCACUGGAGAGAUCCUGAAUUUCACAGGUGCAUGCAGUCCACAGUAAAAAUUCUGUUACAUGUGAUCAUGCCACUACAGUUAACAUGGUGACUAAUUUCAAAAUCCAGCUCAUAGGCAGGUGAAGAGUCUCUUCUUGGGACCCAGCCAUUUGGAGAGAUGUUGACUCAAAUACAUGGACUUAGGUUCACAGGUAUGAUUAUGAAUCCAUACCAGGAAGAAAGUUUCAGAGAAAAUUGUGACUUUCAUGAAUACUGUAUAAAGACCUCAGAUGGUACAGAGAGUUUUAUAAUGAGGCCCAGAACACAGGUGACAUUGUGACACAUGCACACCCAGCCGACAGUAAAGAUUGUCAUCUUUCCACAUGAAUACAGCUCACUGUUGAAGUUCUGAUUCUCAUAUUUGGAGGUAGCCAAAAGCUGGAAAAUUGACUCUCAUACAUGGAUUUGGGCUAUAUGUGGGUUGAUGACUCUCAGACCAAGAUUCAACAUACCGCUGAGGCUGUGACUCCACUAAGGGGACACAGUCCACAGCAUAGAUUGAGGCUCUUAUGCAUGUAUUCAGUCCACCUUUGAGAUUGUAACUGAUGUACUCAGACUCAACAUACAAAAAGUGUUGACUCUAAUACCUAGAAAUGGGACAUGUGCAGGAUUGUUAAUUUUAUCCCUACAUUUUCCUGCAACUGUAUUGCAACAUACACCUCUGACCAGCACCUGAGUAAUUUGAUUCUCCUCCCUGGUGCCCAGCCCACAGAUUAGAUCAUGACACAUCACUAGACCCAACACCUAGGUGGUGUGACUACAUUUGCCUCAGCACUGCCCACAGGGAGGCAUUGAGACAUAUGGCUGAGCCCCACACCUUGGUUAUGUGACUCUCAUUCCUGUGCCCUGCCAUUAUGGGUCAUUGUGACAUAUUGCUAUGUGCAGCAUCCAGGUGAUGUAACUCUCUUUGCUGGGUUCUGCCUAAAGGAAGCAUUACAACCUAUCUCUGUACCAAUCACCAAGGUAAUGUGACUCUCUUAUUCUACCAGGUCCCUGCACACAUAAAUAAUUUUUUCUAUUACUGGGCCCAGCAUCGAGCUGAAGUGACUCUUCUCUUCUAAGUAGGUUCUGCUCUCAAUGUAGAUUGUGACAUACUGCUGGGCUAAACAAGGUGAUGUGAGCCUUCUGUCCAAACCCUGCCCAUAGCAAGCACAGUGACAUAUCUGUGAAUCCAUCAUCUUUGUGCUGUGACUCUUACUUGGGUUUGGCCUAUAGGAGAGAUUGUGACAUAUCUCUGGGACCAGCACUUAGAUGAUGUGACUAUUCUUUCUUCCCAUGGCCAUGCUUCCAUGAAAGAGCGUGACUUAUCCCUGGGAUAAGCACACAGGCUACGUCAUUCUUCUAUCUGGCCCCUGUCCACAGGGAUUAUUGUGGCAUAUCUCUGGGCCCAUUACCUAGAUGAUGUGACUCUACUCUUCUUUCUGGGGCCUGUCCACAGUGAGGAUUGUGAUGUAUCACUUGGCCCAGCACUUAUGUGAUGUGACUCUUCUCAUGCUUUGGCUCUGCCCACUGGAGUGAUUGUGAUAUGUAGCUGGGUCCAGCUCUUAGGUUAUGCAAUCUAUCUUUUCUCUGUGAGCCCUACCCACAGGGGGCAUUGUGACAUAUCUCUGAGCCUCUCACUUAGAUGAUGUGAAUUUUCUGCUAGGGCUGUUUUCCCAGAGGGUAUUGUGACAUUUCUGGGCCCAGAACCUAAAUGAUGUGACUCUUCUAUGGCUUGGGCUCUGCCCAAAAUAUGACUCAUUUUUGUGACUGAUCUCUGCAUACAUGUAUUGUGAUGUAUGGCUGGAACCAGCACCUGCAUAAUAUGAGUCUUCUGCAUGGACUCUUUUCAGGAGGGUAUUAUGAAAUAUCAUUUUGUUUAUCACUUAGGUGUUGUGACUCUCUUCUUAUGACUGGAACCUGCCACAAAGGGCAAUUGCAACAUAUCACUUGACCCAGCACCUAAGUGAUGUGAUUCUCUUUUUUUGGGGGAGGGGGUCUCACAUAUUUUGAGUAUUGCUGGGCCCAACACCUAGGGAACAGACUGCUCCUUUCUUGACCCUGCCCAUGGGGGCUUUGUGACAUAUCUCUAUCAGGGGAACCAGCACCCAAUAUUUCAAUGUAGGUUCUUUUCUGUUUUCCCUAAGUGUUGGCCAGUCUGAGAAAUAAAGAGAAAGAGUACAAAAGAAAUAAAUUUUACAGCUGGGUCUCCGGGGUGACAUCACAUGUCAGCAGGUUCCACGAUGCCCCCGAGCCGCAAAACCAGCAAGUUUUUAUUAGCGAUUUUCGAAGGGGAGGGAGUGUACGAAUAGGGUGUGGGUCACAGAGAUCACAUGCUUCAAAGGCGAUAAAAUAUCACAAGGCAAAUGGGGGCAGAGCAAGAUCACAAGGCCAGGGUGAAAUUAGAAUUACUAAUGAGGUUCCAUGUCCCGCUGUGCAUGCAUUGUCAUUGAUAAACAUCUUAACAGGAAACAGAGUUCAAAAGCAGAGAACUGGUCUGACUAGAAUUCACCAGGCUGUAAUUUCCUAAUCCUAGCAAGCCUGGGGGCGCUGCAGGAGACCAGGGUGUAUUUUAUCCCUUAUCUUCAACUGCAUAAGACAGACACUCCCAGAGUGGUUAUUUUAGAGGCCUCACCCUGGGAGUGCAUUAUUUUGCCAGGCCUGUUCCUUGCUGAGAAAAAGAAUUCAGUGAUAUUUCUCCUAUUCACUUUUGCAAAAAGAGAAGUAUGACUCUGUUCUGCCCAGCCCUACAGGCAGUCAGGGUUAUCUCCCUUGUUCCCUGAAAAUCACUGUUAUUGUGUUCUUUUAGGAUGCCCAGAGUUCAUAUUGUUCAAACACACAUGUUUUACAAACAAUUUGUACAGAUAAUGCAAUCAUCACAGGGUCUUGAGGUGACAUACGUCCUCAGUUUAUGAAGAUGACAGGAUUAAGAGAUUAAAGACAGGCAUAGGAAAUUAUAAGAAUAUUGAUUGGGGAAGUGAUAAGUGUCCAUGAAAUCUUCACAAUUUCUGUUCAGAGAUUGCAGUAAAGACAGGCACAAGAAAUUAUAAAAGUAUGAAUUUGGGGAACUAAUAAAUGUCCAUGAAAUCUUCACAAUUUAUAUUCUGCUGCGGCUUCAGCCAGUCCCUCCGUUUGGGGUCCCUGACUUCCUGCAACAUAUCUCUGCAUCCAUGACCUAAAUAUGUGACUCCUCUAUUCUGGCUGCACCCAGCUUACAGGAAGAUUAUGACAUUUUGCUAAGUAAAGUGUAUCUUGUGCUGAUCUCCUAUGUUAUUCUGUGACUAAGAAUGCCUAACCUGGGGUUGCAGCCCAGUAGGUCUCAGCCUCGUUUCACCUCAACACUAUUCAAGAUGGAGUCGCUCUGGUUUGAAUGCCUCUGACAUAGAGAUCCAUUGUAAAAUUAUGAAAAAAAUUUAUUUGAAUUGCAGUGAAUAAGAAAUGGAAGACCUAGGAUGGGCUAUUCUGAAAGAUUUAGCAAUAUUUGUAUUUGUCAAAAUUUAAGUUUUCCGUUAAUACUUCUGAAUAGAUACAUUGUUUUAUUCUGUCAAGUUUAAAUAGAUACGCUUGAUAAUACAAGGAGUUCCCACUGUGAAAGAAAAAUAAAUCUCCUGAUGCCAAAAUUACUAAUCCAAUAGAAAAGUCAAGCUGGAGACUACAUCAGGCAAACCUGUUUCCUAUUUUAUUCUUAAAUAAGAUAGCUACACAGAUAAAAAGCUACAUACCUACCUCACAAUUUGCUCAGAAGGAAAUUCCUAGUGAAUAGAUGACAGACAGAACUCAAAGUUAUCUCUCUGAGGCUCACCUGAGACAAAUGCAGAUCUGUUUGUUUCCUCUGCCCUAUUGUUAAUUUUAAAAUGCAGAUUCACUGAGCCAGGCUAAAUUGUGUAUUCAGUGGGAGACUUAUCAAGGACUCAAAUAAAUUUAUUAUUUUUUCUCUUAUCUACUUAUGACUUGGAAGCCCCAACCUCAAGUUUUCCUGUCUUACCUGACCACACCAAUGUACAUCUUAAACAUGUUAUUGAUGUCUCUUGACUUUCUAAAAUGUAUUAGAAGACUGUACCCCAACCACCUUGGGCACCUGUCAUCAGGACCUCCUGAGGCUGUGUCACAGGCUCCUACUUAACCUUGGCAGAAUAAACUUUCCAAAUUUAUUGACACUUGUCUCAGGUACCUUUUGUUUUACACAGCCAAGGCACUGCUAGCUGGUCACUACUGCACCCCAGACUUAUCCACCACCAUUGCAGGGACUCUGGUUUCUUGAUAGCAAUUGUUUCACUUCAAUGGAAGAUGGACAGGUGUGUACCUGAGAAUGCAGCACUGAGCUCCUGGGUGAUGUGGGAUGUUCCAAGCAUCAGCUUUCAGCCAGUCUAUCUUAUAACUGUUGAAAGUUACUUAGUGUAGUGUGAAGAUGGGAAUAAACAGCUCCUGAAUGCUAACAAUGGCUGUUCAUUAUAGGGUGACCCAAGGUGGCCAUGCCAUGGUUCUGGGUUCUUCUGUGGCUUCUCAGUGGCUGAUGGAGUGGUUUUUUUGGUCUUGUGAUACAGGGUGUGUGUGUCUAAAGGAGUGGAGGGCAGGGUGGGGAAAGGAGGUGACAGGCAGGUUCCUGGAGGUCACCUCCUGGCAUUAUUCUUGUGGAUUGCCAAGUUUCUUGUUUGAAUUUGUUUCUUGUUAAUAGUACAUGUGUCCUCAGCAAGGAGGUGAAAAUAAAAAAAAAGAGCUUGGAACAGUCUCAGCUCUGUGAGGUCUGCACAAUUUAUCAAGCCCAGAGAGAUGAGACUGUGGAACUUCACCCAGGGGCAUUUUUUGUUGUUGUUGUUGUUUGUUUUGAGACGAAGUCUCACUCUGUCACCCAGGCUGGAGUGCAGUGGCAUGAUCUUGGCAUGCUGCAACCCUGCCUCUUGAGUUCAAGUGAUUCUCCUGCUUCAGCCUCCCACAUAGUUGGAAUUACAGGCACAUGCCACCACACACGGCUGAUUUUUGUAUUUUUAGUAGAGAUCGGGUUUCACCAUGUUGGCCAGGCUGGUCUCCAACUGCUGAUCUCACCUGAUUUGCCCACUUCGGCCUCCCAAAGUGCUGGGAUUAGGGGCAAUUCUUUAAAGACAUUUACUUUCUGACUAGCAGUCUCACCCAUUAUUUCUUUAUUAGGAAUUUGGAAAAUAAAAGAAUAUAUGCAGCCAAUCAAUAGCUUAUGCAUUUAAAUAUGAAUUCUUGGUAAAUAACUUAGGAACUGCCUUCUCACUUUUUCAAAAAGACUCACUUUCAAUGGCUGCUAAUUAAAAUAUAUAUUCAGGGCAACUUAAAUCUGUCCUCCUCUUGGCUAUCCUCAAUAUCUGACAUUGAGUAAAUGUAUUUCAGGUUACAUUUUAACCUUUUUUAUUAUUUUAAGUUGACUGAGGGCUGGCCUGGAACAUUCUCCUUGGUAUAAAUACUCCAACUAUAAGCUACCUGCUCAGUAGAGGAAACUAAUCAACAGCAGGGCCUAGCAUAGGUCAAAGACACAAGCAGUGGGAAGCUUUUUGGGGCCUGGCUCCUAAUUGCAAGGACAGUUGCACAGGUGUCUCUGAAUGCUUAGACAGCCUGGCCUUUCCUGACCCAAUGCCCCCCAUCAGCUUUUUCAAGCACAUCUUGAUCUUUUGUCAUUCUGUUCUCUGGGGUGAAAACUCAUCGUCAGGGCUGUCUACAACAAAACAGAAGUAUCAGGUUACUAAAACCUCAGGAACAGAGAUUACGGAUUGGGUUAAGAGUGUGCCCUUUCUUAAGGAUGGUACGCAUGGAAAAGCAGCAAGCAGUUUCAGAAAGAUACAGGAAAAAUUGCCUCUAACGGAUAUUUAUACUUCAACUCAAUUUAUUCUGUAAGUGGUAGGGAAAAUGGGAUAAAAUACCAUAUGUUCAAGCAUUUUUGCUUCUCAGUCAGAAUGAAACCCUGCAGCAGGCAUGUCCAUGUUUCAUGAGAGAAAUAGAAGAAAAAGAGUUGGACAUACAAGAUGAUCCUUAUUUCAAGCCCCCCUGCCACUUGGUUCAGCGGGCAUUUUUGGGUGAAGCAGAACCUUUCUGUCAGGUCUGAAGGUUCAGAUGUGUUGGUCUUUUUUCCCACUAAUACACCUGAAAGUUCUAUUGAGAACCAUUUGUCCCUCCUCCCUACCCUUCUAGUCCCACUCUGUACCCACCACUCCCUGAAGAACUUAGCCCAGUGAGUACUACUCAUAGUGGAGCUGCCUAUCAACCUCCAAGGGGAAAUCUUUGUCCACCUACAGAGGUUGCAAAUGGGGAAGAAGGCCUGUGAGAGGAGGUGUCCCCUUUUCUCUGUCUGGUUUGGCUCUAUAAUAAGACAAGUUUGGUCAUUUCUCUGAAGAUGCAGGAAAAUUCAUAGGUGAGUUUGAGAAGUUAACUCUGACCUACAGUUUAACAUGGCAGGAUCUGUACAUUUUGUUGUCUCUGUGUUAUACAGUGGAAGAAAAACAAUGCAUUUUGGGGACAGCUAGGACUCAUGCAGAUGAGGUAUUGGCUUGCAACCCGAACCAUAAUAUAUAUCAGACAGGAGGUAUAGCAGUUCCAGAUCAAGAUCUAGAGUGGAACUAUCAAAGGGGGUGUGAGGACUUGGAAGAAGAGAUCAUAUGGUCACUUGUUUGUUGAAAGAGAUGAAGAAAUGUAUGAAAAAACCUGUUAACAAUGAAAAGGUUAAGCAACUUUCUCAGGGCAAAGAUGACAAUCCAGCUUUGUUUUAAUAGUGUUUAGUUGAGGCAAUCAGAAAAUAUACUAACACUGAUCUUGCCUCAAUGAAAAGAUAGACCCUUCUGGGAGUACAUUUUAUAACCCAGUCUGCCCCUGAUAUCCAUAGAAAACUACUAAAAGCAGCUAUGGGUCCCCAAACUUCUCUGGAACAGCUUUGGAUAUGGCAUUUUUAGUUUUUAAUAACAGGGACAAAGCGGAGGUAGCGGAAAGAGGAAGAAGGACCUCCCACAAGUUGCAGGUCUUGGUUGCAACCUUAAGCUAACCUCCCACAUGGGGUUGCCCUCCUGGGUCUUGGGUUGAACAAGGGAAGCUGAAAGGUGGGAAGCCUAAACCUGGGUGUCCGAGUCACUGUGCCUUGGGCAUAAAUCAGGUUGCACACUGUAAGAAAACUGACCACUGGAAGAGGGUUUGUCCAGUGUUCUGAAGAGAGCCAUCAGCACGUGAACUAAUGAUGGGUAAAACAGCCAGGCAAGCACCCAAGAGUGACGGGGACUGAGACCUUCCACCACGGUUUCCAUCAGACAACUAGCCAUAUAUCUGGAAAAGCCUCAGUAUUUUUUGCCAUGGCAGUUAAGAAUAUGAAGUUUCACCAGGUGCGGUGGCUCACACCUGUAAUCCUAGCACUUUGGAAGGCCGAGGUGGGUGGAUGACUUGAGGUCAGGAGUUCAAGACUAGUCUGGCCAACAUGGUGAAACCCCAUCUCUACUAAAAAUACAAAAAAUUAGCCAGAAAUUGCUUGAACCUGAGAGGCGGAGGUUGCAGUGAGCUGAGAUCGUGCCACUGCACUCCAGCCUGGGAAACAGAGACUCCGUCUCAAAAAAAAAAAAAAAAAAAGGAAGCUAGAUGAGUUGCGAGUUGCCUCAUGCCUGUAAUCCCAGCACUUUGGGAGGCUGAGGUGGGUGGUCGGGAGUUCGAGACCAGCCUGAGCAACAAGGAGAAACCCCAUCUCUAGUAAAAAUACAAAAUUAGCUGGGCGUGGUGGCACAUGCUUGUAAUCCCAGCUACUCAGGAGGCUUAGGCAAGAGAUUCACAUAAACCCGGGAGGCCGAAGUUGCAGUGAGCUGAGAUCAUGCCACUGCACUCCAGCCUGGGCGACAGAGUGAGACUCCUUCUCAAAAAAAAAAAAAAAAGAAUAUUAACUUUCUUCUGGACUGCUUACUCUGUUUUGACCCAUUAUAAUGGGUCUGUUUCACCCCCAAACUGUAUGGUCACGGGGAUAGAUUGACAAGCCCAUAGAUGCCAUUUUACAUAAUCUCUAAGCUGUUUUUCAGUGACUUCGGUUUUCUUACAUAACUUCCUUAUCAUGCCCGGAUGCCUCAGGGAAGUCGUAGCAAUUUCUCUUUCAGUAGAUAAAGCCAAUAAACUGGCUUUAGAACAACAUUCUGAGGUUUAAGCCCACACCAAGUAUGAGGAGUUCUAUAAGCCAAAAGACACCAGUGGAUGACAGGGGACACUUAUUGAAAUAGCAGACAUUUUGCUAGACACUCCAAUUAACCUGAUAUGAGGUGCUAAUCAAUAAAAAAUAGUUAAACAUUUGCAUGACUCUACUCAUUUGGGAAUAAAUUCCCUGUUUAAUAUCUCGGCUUUUUAUAGAAAAAUAAUUACUUAAAAGAGUAAACCAGGUAACCCAGGCCUGUGAACUAUAUGCCUGGAACAACCCAAAUGACCAAUGUUUACCUCCUCCUUUAGUAAGGCCUGUUCAGCAUAGAGGAGCAUACCCUGGUGAAGACUGGCAAAUAGACUAUACUCAGAUGCCCCCGUGUAAAGGGUUUAAAUAUUGAUUAGUAUUCAUUGACACCUUUACCGUUUGGAUUGAGGCUUUUCCUACCAAGUCUGAAAAGGCAAUCAAGGUUUCUAAACUACUAAAAGAAAUAAUUCCGAUGGGUACAGUAUCUCACGCCUGUAAUCCCUGCACAUUGGGAGGCCAAGGCAGGUGGAUCACCUGAGGUCAGGAGUUCGAGACCAGCCUGGCUAACAUGGCGAAACCCCGUCUCUACUAAAAAUACAAAAAUUAGCUGGGUGUGGUGGUGUGCACCUGUAGUCCUAGCUACUCUGGAGGAUGAGGCAUGAGAAUCACUUGAACCUUGGAGGCAGAGGUUGCAGUGAACCAAGAUUGUGCCAUUGCACUCCAGCCUGGGCAACAAGAGUGAAACUCUGCCUCAAAAGAAAAAAAAAAAAAGAUAAUAUCGAGUCUCGCAAAAUAUAGUAAUUAAGAAGAUUCUUUAUCACAAACCCUUGUGGCAGAGCACAUCUCCUCAUAGGUAAAAACAUUGUAACUAUGGUAAAUGUGUUCCUCAAUAGUAAAUUAAUUAUUAAACUUAUUCAAAAUUAUUUUAUUUAAUUUUUCAGAACAAUGCUUAUGUUUUGUAUAGCUAAUUGCUGUAAUUCUUUAACAAAAACUGGGCCAGACACAGUGGGUCAUGCCUGUAAUCCCAGCACUUUGGGAGGCCGAGGCGGGCGGAUCACGAGGUCAGGAGAUCGAGACCGUCCUGGCUAACACGGUGCAACCCCAUCUAUACUAAAA